GUCCACACCGUAAACGAUGAUUACUAGAUUUUGGCCGCAAGGUCAGAGUCCAAGCGAAAGUGUUUAGUAAUCCACCUGGGGAGUACGUCCGCAAGGAUGAAACUCAAAGGAAUUGACGGGGGCCCCGCACAAGCGGUGGAGCAUGUGGUUUAAUUCGAUGAUACGCGAGGAACCUUACCUGGGCUUGAAAGUUAGUGACCGUCCCGGAAAUGGGAUUUCCCGCAAGGGCACGAAACUAGGUGCUGCAUGGCUGUCGU
rnacentral:rRNA from 1 species